rnacentral:rRNA from 1 species
GACGAACGCUGGCGGCGUGCUUAACACAUGCAAGUCGAACGGGCCCGCUCUCUUUUUUGGGGGUGGGUUGAGUGGCGAACGGGUGAGUAUCACGUGAGUAACCUGCCCCCUGCUCCUGGAUAACUGCUUGAAAGGGCGGCUAAUACGGGGUGUGCCGGCUGGUCCGCAUGGGCCUGGUCGGGAUAGUUUCAUCUUCGGGUGUUUCGGUGGGGGAUGGGCUCGCGGCCUAUCCGCUUGUUGGUGGGGUGAUGGCCCACCAAGGCGGUGACGGGUAGCCGGCCUGAGAGGGUGGGCGGCCACAGUGGGACUGAGACACGGCCCAGACUCCUGCGGGAGGCAGCAGUGGGGGGUAUUGCACAAUGGGCGGAAGCCUGAUGCAGCGACGUCGCGUGAGGGAUGGAGGCCUUCGGGUUGUGAACCUCUUUCUCCGGUGGUGAAGGCCCUGUCCGUUGCGGCGGGGUUGACGGUAGCCGGGGAUGAAGCGCCGGCUAACUACGUG